rnacentral:rRNA from 1 species
AUGGAAGCGUGUAUAUAUCACGAGGUGAUCGAGGUGCCAUUGUACACUCUCACAACGCAGCCAGCCAUCGAGUUCAAAGGCAGGCAAUCUACAGCGCUCGAUCUUGUGUUUCUCUGCGAGAAGCCAACGCAGCUCUGGCACGCAGGCAGAAGGAUGAAGAAGGGUGGCGGGAAAACCAGCGGGUGCUUCUUCUGCCUCGGCGCGCCGAUGCGCGCGCUGUCCAGAGCGUGCGACCUCUACGUGAGCUGCAUGUCCGGAUGCGCGCGCCGCAUGCCAGCGGGGGCGGUCGUGGGUGGCCGCGGCCCCGGCGGCUUCGGCGGGCCGGCCACGACCAUGCACCUGCGGGCGAGCUCGGACCGCGCCGAUGAUCUUGUCCGCGCAGCGUCGAAACAGCGCCGCGUCGCGCCCGAGCCGGCGGACAUCGGGGCAGCGGAGAAGAAGGUCCACGUUAGCCUGGCGCCUGCGGCCGUCCCGGCGCGGAGGAAGCGCCCGGCGACGAUGGUGACCAUCGCUGAGGACGGGCCGUGCGAGUUCCGCGCCUGCCCGCUGAAACGGCCAGAGCAGAGGACUCGCGGCGCGGCGGUGGGCGGACUGGCCGCGCGCGGCGGUGGUUUUGGUGCCAUCAAGGUGGGGAGCGAAGCCUUCGAGAGCCGAGCGUGA